UACGUAGGGUGCGAGCGUUGUCCGGAAUUACUGGGCGUAAAGAGCUUGUAGGUGGUUUGUCGCGUUGUUCGUGAAAUCUCACGGCUCAACUGUGAGCGUGCGGGCGAUACGGGCAGACUAGAGUACUGCAGGGGAGACUGGAAUUCCUGGUGUAGCGGUGGAAUGCGCAGAGUAUCAGGAGGAACACCGGUGGCGAAGGCGGGGUCUCUGGGCAGUAACUGACCGCUGGAGAAGCGAAAAGCGUGGGGAGCGAACAGG
rnacentral:rRNA from 1 species